rnacentral:rRNA from 1 species
GACAGAGGGUGUAACAGUGUUCGGUGAAUUACUGGGCGUAAAGCGCGUGUAGGCGGCUUUGCAAGUCGGGCUGAAAUCCCAUGGCUCAACCAUGGAAGUGCACUCGAAACUGCAGAGCUAGAGUCCUGGAGAGGAAGGUGGAAUGCUUGGUGUAGAGGUGAAAUUCGUAGAUAUCAAGCGGAACACCGGUGGCGAAGGCGGCCUUCUGGACAGUGACUGACGCUGAGACGCGAAAGCGUGGGGAGCAAACAGG